rnacentral:rRNA from 3 species
GGACUACUGGGGUAUCUAAUCCCGUUUGCUCCCCUGGCUUUCGCGCCUCAGCGUCAGUAGAGAUCCAGCAGCUCGCUUUCGCCACCGGAGUUCCUUCCGAUAUCAACGCAUUUCACCGCUCCACCGGAAGUUCCAGCUGCCCCUAUCUCCCUCCAGUCGAUCAGUAUCCCAGGCACUUUUCCGGUUAAGCCGAAAGAUUUCACCCCAGACUUGAUCGACCGCCUACGCGCCCUUUAAGCCCAGUGAUUCCGAACAACGUUCGCACGGUUCGUCUUACCGCGGCUGCUGGCAC